rnacentral:rRNA from 1 species
AAAAUUUGUUAUUAAUUUGAUUUAUAUGUAAAUUUUUGUGAGAAAUUUUAAUAAUUUUAAAAAUUAUUAAUUUAUUAAUAACCGCAGUAAUUAAUUUUAUUUAUUAAAGAAAUUUAGAAAUAGUAAUAUUAAAGAGUAUAGAUUAAAUUGGUGCCAGCAAUCGCGGUUAUACCAAUUAUACAAAUAAAUUUUAUUAGAAAAAGUUAAAUUGUUAAAAUUUAAAUUAAAUUAAAUUUAUUAAGUGAAAUUUUAAAUUUAAAUUUUUUUAUACAAAAAAUUAUUGAAGCUUGAAAUUUUAAUUAA